UACGUAGGGCGCAAGCGUUGCCCGGAAUUAUUGGGCGUAAAGAGCUCGUAGGCGGUUUGUCGCGUCUGGUGUGAAAACUCAAGGCUCAACCUUGAGCUUGCAUCGGGUACGGGCAGACUAGAGUGUGGUAGGGGUGACUGGAAUUCCUGGUGUAGCGGUGGAAUGCGCAGAUAUCAGGAGGAACACCGAUGGCGAAGGCAGGUCACUGGGCCACUACUGACGCUGAGGAGCGAAAGCAUGGGGAGCGAACAGG
rnacentral:rRNA from 1 species